rnacentral:lncRNA from 1 species
AUACCUUUUGAGAAAAUGAGUUUAUCUUUAAAAGAAUCUCCUUGUGUAUUGCAUAAUACAAUACCUUUUACUAAUAAGCAAUACAAAUAUCUAAAUUUGUAAGCAAUUCACAAUUGUAUAAUAGUUUAUGAUUUCAUUGUAUUUAAUUUCGAUCACUUAUAGUUUUGGGUAGUGGUAUCGUAUGCUAUCAACUCAAUAAAUACUAAUGUCGUAUGCUAUCUACAAAUAAUAUUUAUCUACUUUCUACAAGGUUAGACCUAGAGGUUUCAUUAAUUAGUUGUAUCUGUGAACUAUUCUUGUGUGUUUGGCAUUUGUAUUUGUUAUUCAAUAUAAGUUCAAAAGUUCAAUUAGUAAUUUAUAUAGACAUAUGAUUUAUACCGAUGAUAAUUGUGUGCAUUUUUUAAAACAAAAAGGUGUAUUACCUAAACUAGAAUUUUGUGAAAAAAUCAAUAAGGUCAACAAUGAAGUUUGUGGUGGCGUUCUCAAGGAAUGUUAUAAAAAUAGCAGCAAUCCAAUAUUCCGAUGGGUAACUUUUGAAAUCAAAAUACUUGCGUUGCCAAAAACACGGUUGUUAAAAUUAUCUGUCAAUUCAUAAAAAAAAAACUGUUUUUCACCUAUUUCGAUAUAAUUGGUCGUCUACACCUAGGAAUUGUCAACCUAGAGAAGAAAUUGUGGAAUCAGAAUGUACCAGCUUUGAUACUGAAAUAACCAAUCAAAUUUACGGUUUACGCGUACAGGGACCGUGGGUGUUUGGAAUGUGUGGUAGACAUGAUAAUAUAGUAUAACGUCGAUUGUUUAUCGUUCAAAAAAAGAGACUGAGCCACUUUGUUUCCAAUUAUUCAAAGAGAAAUUUACCCAGGGAUGACCAUCUUCUCAGAUGAAUUGAAAGCUUUCAGUAGCUUAAAAGAUCAUGGCUAUACCCACAAUACCGUAAAUCAUAAAAUUAAUUUCAUUGAUGCACAAACAGGAGCUGAAACUUAAACAAUGGAAUAUUAUUGGCAACAUAUAAAGGUGAAAUAUGGUAUAAAAUCGCACGGUUCUACUAAUUUGUUGGAAAGAUAGCUUAAAAAAGAGUGGUGGUGCUCCAUAAAUACAACAAAUAUUUUCGAAAUAUUUUUUAAUGAUGAAAAUUACUUUUCAACUUUAAUUGAGAACAUUUAUUGGCAAUCUUCAUUUAUUUAUGAAGUGCUCUGGGUUAAAACAAAGAGGUUUCCUUCAUACUUGACGCAUCUUCAUCAAAUUACAAGUGGAAGGUUAUACACAAAAUGUAUGGUGCCUUUUGGUAAAUCACAUAUUUUACCAAAAAAAAUGUCUCUUAAUUAAAUAUUAUGGAUUAAUAUAAUCCUAAAAUUUAAAAAUAUUUUAAUAAUUCAAAUAAAUGUAUAUAUUUUCUUGAUAAGGAAUUUAAUUUAAUUUAAAUAUAAUUAUACUAUCAAAGUUAUAAUUAUGUUUUCCUUUUUUUUAUAAAUAAUAAAUAUAUUGUCAUACUGAUUCAUAGAUACUUACAUAUUGGUAUGUGUAUUAUUAAAAUUAUUUCAAAUAGACACAUUGUUUUUUUUUUUUUUUUUAAUAGAUGUCUAACAUACAAAUGACCACCAUUUUAUAUUAAUAAUAAUUUAAAAAGAUUGGUUUUAAUAUUGUUUAUGGUUUUUUCUUCAUGUAAUUAAUAAUAAUUACUAGUCCAAUAAUAUUAUAUAUGUAUUAUUAAUUUGAAUAAUGUAUAUUUUAUAAAAACAUGUUCAUCAGUGUUGGGUAAGUUAAGGUUAUUAUUUUCCCUAAUAUGCUUAAAUACUUAAUGUCGUGUAUGUGAUGUGUUUUUAUAUUAUAUAUAUUAUACAAAUAAAUGUAGACAUUAUAUGGCUUAAAUUUAAAUUUUUUGUUUUGUAAAAAUAAAAUGACUAUUAAAUUUAUCUACUAAAACAAGUAGUACAUUUGUUAUAAUUGUAAUUUAAGUGAUGAUCAUUAUAUUUAAUUAUUUUUAUAAAAUUAUUAUUUUAAAAAUAUAAGAUUUACUUAUCGACUGAAAUUAACUGUAAAACAAUGUAUUGCCGAAUUACUUUAUUUUUAAUUUGAAUAAAAUUAAAUCUGUAUAUAUAA